rnacentral:rRNA from 1 species
AGAUUGAACGCUGGCGGCAUGCCUUACACAUGCAAGUCGAACGGUAGAGUAGCAAUACUUGAGAGUGGCGAACGGGUGAGUAAUAUAUCGGAACGUGCCCAGUCGUGGGGGAUAACGUAGAGAAAUUUACGCUAAUACCGCAUACGAUCUAAGGAUGAAAGCGGGGGACCGUAAGGCCUCGCGCGAUUGGAGCGGCUGAUAUCAGAUUAGGUUGUUAGGUGAGGUAAAAGCUCGACCAAGCCGACGAUCUGUAGCUGGUUUGAGAGAACGACCAGCCACACUGGGACUGAGACACGGCCCAGACUCCGUACGGAGGCCAGCGAGUGGGGAAUUUGGACAAGUGGGCGAAAGCCUGACUCCAGCAAUGACCGCGUGCAGGAAGAGGCCUUCGGGUAGUAACUGUGUUUGUACGGUAACGUAACGGUCUAGACUUAAUAC